rnacentral:rRNA from 1 species
AACGGCGAGUGAAGCGGCAAGAGCUCAAAUUUGAAAUCUGGCCCCCCCCGGGGUCCGAGUUGUAAUUUGGAGAGGAUGCUUCGGGCGCCGUUCCCGUCUAAGUGCCCCUGGAACGGGCUGUCGCAGAGGGUGAGAACCCCGUCUGGGACGGGCGACGGCGCCCGUGUGAAGCUCCUUCGACGAGUCGAGUUGUUUGGGAAUGCAGCUCUAAGCGGGUGGUAAAUUUCAUCUAAAGCUAAAUACUGGCCGGAGACCGAUAGCGCACAAGUAGAGUGAUCGAAAGAUGAAAAGCACUUUGAAAAGAGAGUCAAACAGCACGUGAAAUUGUUGAAAGGGAAGCGUUGGCCCCCAGACGCGCCCGGGAGGGCUCAGCCGGCACGUGUGCCGGUGUACUCUCUCCCGGGCGGGCCAGCAUCGGUUUGGGCGGUCGCUGAAAGGCCCCGGGAAUGUAGCACCCUCCGGGGUGCCUUAUAGCCCGGGGCGGCAUGCGGCCCGCCGGGACCGAGGCCCGCGCUUCGGCGAGGAUGCUGGCGUAAUGGCGGUCAACGGCCCGUCUUGAAACACGGACCAAGGAGUCUAACAUCUAUGCGAGUGUUCGGGUGUCAAACCCGUCCGCGCAGUGAAAGCGAACGCCGGUGGGAACCCCUCUGGGGCGCACCAUCGACCGAUCCUGAUGUCCUCGGAUGGAUUUGAGUAAGAGCAUAGCUGUUGGGACCCGAAAGAUGGUGAACUAUGCCUGAAUAGGGCGAAGCCAGAGGAAACUCUGGUGGAGGCUCGCAGCGGUUCUGACGUGCAAAUCGAUCGUCAAAUUUGGGUAUAGGGGCGAAAGACUAAUCGAACCAUCUGGUAGCU